rnacentral:rRNA from 1 species
CUACGUAGGGGGCGAGCGUUGUCCGGAAUGAUUGGGCGUAAAGGGCGCGUAGGCGGCCCGGUAAGUCUGGAGUGAAAGUCCUGUUUUUAAGAUGGGAAUUGCUUUGGAUACUGUCGGGCUUGAGUGCAGGAGAGGUAAGUGGAAUUCCCAGUGUAGCGGUGAAAUGCGUAGAGAUUGGGAGGAACACCAGUGGCGAAGGCGACUUACUGGACUGUAACUGACGCUGAGGCGCGAAAGUGUGGGGAGCAAACAGGAUUAGAUACCCUGGUAGUCCACACUGUAAACGAUGAAUGCUAGGUGUAGGGGGUGUCGACCCCUUCUGUGCCGCAGUCAACACAAUAAGCAUUCCGCCUGGGGAGUACGGCCGCAAGGUUGAAACUCAAAUGAAUUGACGGGG